CAAGAAUUAGCUUAAGGAGAGUUUUUGUUUACGACAAAAGGGUAUGAUUUCUUGA
rnacentral:tRNA from 1 species